rnacentral:sRNA from 1 species
CACAGAUUAUGAUCUGAAUUGCUUGUUUUUUUAUUAAAUCUUUCACUGCUCAUCUAAUGUCUUGUGAGCUGCUACACUGAUCAGCAGAAGGAAUUCUGAUGAAGGCUAGAAGAGCUUUGAUUGCAGGAAAAGAUUAUAAAUUGAUUGAUAUAGAGAGGGAGAAUGCCUCCUAGAACUCAAGCUACCAUGAGAAUGGAUAUCUCAGCUAGCAAUGAGGAAUACAAAUCUACCACUACCUCUGAGUCACUGGACCCAACAACGACCGAUAUCUUGAUACAGAUGAUGAUGGAAUAUUUGAAAAAGCAAGAUGAAUGUCUGAAGAGAAUGAAUGAAUAUUUGAACAGAAGAAUGAGAAAAUUCUUACAAAAACCAGCUGAAAACUCUGAUUCUCUGUCAAGAAGAGAUCAAGAGAAUAUCAAACAAGAGAAAAAUGAAAUGAAACUGACUGUACAAGUCACUGUCACUACUCCUCCAUCUACUGAAGAAUCUUCUGAAGAAUCAAUCAUCAAAGAACCUUCUAUAAGAACCAUCAUGAUGAGAUUAGCCAUUAAGAAUAUCACCAUCAUCACCACCACCACCACUACCACCACUGCUAUCAAAGAAUCUCUCAAACAUCGAUACUACUACCAC